ensembl:lncRNA
GCACAGCUGUGCGGGUGUGGUUGGUGUUUCUGUUCUCUAUCGCUGGAGGUCCUUUUAGCACGUUCCCGAGAGAAGCUGGGGUUCGGAGCCUGGCAUUUGCUGCGCAGUUCUCUGUCGGAGAGGCUCCUGGGGCUCAGGCCUGCAAACCUUUGAGCUCGGAUAGGUGUAGUUGAGAACCAUGGAGCAUAUUCUUUGCCUAACCUUACUAGGAAUUCUCAGUCUGCAUUGUCAGCUCUUUAUCAGGAAAAUUGCCUCCCCAGAAAGCUGAUGUCCACACUAAGCCUCCCAGCUGGAGGAGUAAUUAAUAACGUAAAUAGCAGAGCUAACCCAGAUGUUGUACUGAACUGAUACCUGGUCCCACCCAGCCUGGAACCUGAGGGAGUCAGAGAGGCUUCUCCUCAGACAGCCCUGAUUCCAGAAUGUGACUUCAGCCCUCAGAGCCUGGCUUGAUGAUGCUGUGCCCAUACCCACCACUGGAGGACAGGCUAGCGGUCCAGCAUUAAGGGCCAUGAGUUCAGAGCCUGGUUUGAGCAGGAUACAGGCAAAGAAAGGCCAGACUUGGGAAUCAUAAGUUUAGUGAAGACAGGAGGAGGACUGGACCAAGGAGCUAAUUUCCUGAGUUGUUUCUCAUUGUCAGGUAAGACAGGCCUUAGCAGCAUGGUAGCAAAAAGGGACUGAUGGUAAAAAGAAGUUCAGGGAGCCCUACAGAUAGAAGCCAGCUCUCUCAGCCUCUCUGGAAUAGUCCAAAGCCUAUGGUACAAUGUCAUCCAGAUCUGUCCUCAGUUAUUCUUAUUUUCAUCUCCCUCUGGUUUGUCUCCUAUUCUUGCUUGCAAAGUUUGUCAUUCUUCUUCAGCCCCACAGACAUCAACAUCUUUGGAUCCUGAGCCUCUCUGUGGCAGUUGCCACACUGAAGUCAUCAGCCCAGAGCAAACUGGACUGUGUGGGGAAGCAGGAAAGAUAGAGUUUGACCCAGCUAACCUCAGGGUGUGACCUCCUGGGUUCUGCCAUCUCUUCAUUUACUUAAAAUGGGCCUUCCAGUGACUAUUUCCAGGAAUCUCACUAGUUAGCCAGCUCUGAUAGGGCCUUCUCCUAAGGGUAUACUAUUUUAAUGAUUCCAUUUUUCCCUGUUUUUCCGUGCCUGAGAACACAGCCUGGCCAAGAAAGUGGAGUAGUGCUCAACUAUCAUUGGUGUGCAGUUGGGUUUUCCUCUUAUCUGGCCUUUCUUCAAUGUGUCAUUUGUCAUGCUGAAGUAGAAAGAAGAUAGCUUCAACUACUGAAGCUUGGGGAGCUGAAAAACUGUAGGAUCUGCAAGUCCAUCCUGUUCCUGGUGGGGCAGCAGCUGGACUCAAGAGGGAAUGGUACUAGCAACACUACACAGGUGGUUUGCACAAACUAGGAG